GAUGAAGAACGUAGCGAAAUGCGAUAAGUAAUGUGAAUUGCAGAAUUCAGUGAAUCAUCGAAUCUUUGAACGCACAUUGCGCCCGCCAGUAUUCUGGCGGGCAUGCCUGUUCCAGCGUCAUUUCAACCAUCAAGCCCCCGGCUUGUGUUGGGGACCUGCGGCUGCCGCAGGCCCUGAAAUGCAGUGGCGAGCUCGCUGUCACUCCGAGCGUAGUAGUUACAUCUCGCUCUGGGCGUGCUGCGGGUUCCGGCCGUUAAAAGCCUUAUUUACCCAAGGUUGACCUCGGAUCAGGUAGGAAGACCCGCUGAACUUAAGCAUAUCAAUAAGCGGAGGA
rnacentral:misc_RNA from 1 species